rnacentral:rRNA from 1 species
AGGUUUUCGGAUCGUAAAGCUCUGUUGUUAGGGAAGAACAAGUGCGAGGAGUAACUGCUCGCACCUUGACGGUACCUAACCAGAAAGCCACGGCUAACUACGUGCCAGCAGCCGGGUAAUACGUAGGUGGCAAGCGUUGUCCGGAAUUAUUGGGCGUAAAGGGCUCGCAGGCGGUUUCUUAAGUCUGAUGUGAAAGCCCCCGGCUCAACCGGGGAGGGUCAUUGUAAACUGGGAAACUUGAGUGCAGAAGAGGAGAGUGGAAUUCCACGUGUAGCGGUGAAAUGCGUAGAGAUGUGGAGGAACACCAGUGGCGAAGGCGACUCUCUGGUCUGUAACUGACGCUGAGGAGCGAAAGCGUGGGGAGCGAACAGGAUUAGAUACCCUGGUAGUCCACGCCGUAAACGAUGAGUGCUAAGUGUUAGGGGGUUUCCGCCCCUUAGUGCUGCAGCUAACGCAUUAAGCACUCCGCCUGGGGAGUACGGUCGCAAGACUGAAACUCAAAGGAAUUGACGGGGGCCCGCACAAGCGGUGGAGCAUGUGGUUUAAUUCGAAGCAACGCGAAGAACCUUACCAGGUCUUGACAUCCUCUGACAACCCUAGAGAUAGGGCUUUCCCUUCGGGGACAGAGUGACAGGUGGUGCAUGGUUGUUGUCAGCUCGUGUCGUGAGAUGUUGGGUUAAGUCCCGCAACGAGCGCAACCCUUGAUCUUAGUUGCCAGCAUUCAGUUGGGCACUCUAAGGUGACUGCCGGUGACAAACCGGAGGAAGGUGGGGAUGACGUCAAAUCAUCAUGCCCCUUAUGACCUGGGCUACACACGUGCUACAAUGGACAGAACAAAGGGCUGCAAGACCGCAAGGUUUAGCCAAUCCCAUAAAUCUGUUCUCAGUUCGGAUCGCAGUCUGCAACUCGACUGCGUGAAGCUGGAAUCGCUAGUAAUCGCGGAUCAGCAUGCCGCGGUGAAUACGUUCCCGGGCCUUGUACACACCGCCCGUCACACCACGAGAGUUUGCAACACCCGAAGUCGGUGA